ensembl:lncRNA
CCCAGCAAGAGGGCUACGGAAAUGUCCACUCUGACAAAAUAACACAACUAAGCUUCCUCUUAAAAUGCAGGAAAUCGAACCAGGAGAGUUCUGUUUGUCACUUGGGUGGACUAAGCAAACGAGAGUCCCUGGUAGCCUUUACUCAUCAGCUUCUGCCUGACCUAUUUUACUUUCGUUUUAAAAGUACUUUUUUAAAAUAGUUUUUGCCUGUCCAUCUAGGAUCAUCAGUUUGUGCCAACAGAAGAAGAUGGAGACUGAGAACUAGCAAAUUUCGGACCUGUCCAGAGUCAGCCUGUGAAUUUAAAUCAGAGCUGGGGACAAAAGAAAAACCUCACUGUUUCGAAGCUGUGGACACUGGGACAUCACAAGCUCAGGCUUCCCGCUUAAGGAUGGAACUCUGCAUAGAGCGAUGUCAACUUCUUGAUCAACGGAGAAUCCCAUGUUGAAUCUCUCUCGAAGAUAAUUUACUCCAAGUAAAAGAUUUUCCUGUUAAGUAUUACUUAUGAUUGAACAAUAGGUAUCAUUAGGUAAGAAUUUUGAGGAUGAGUAAGUUCCUUGCAAAAAUGAAUACAAAACUUGCCUCUGAUCAGCCUGAUUAGAACACUGACAGGAGGAGGAGGAGGAAUCUGUGAUGAUGUUUUGAUAAACGCCCUCACUCAGGUGCCCUAACAUUUACAUGUUAAGUUUCAACUAUGGAUUCUGCACACAUUUACAAUACUUCCUCUCAACCAAUGUAAGAGACAGCCUGAGGCUGGCUAGAUGGGUGGAGGGGAAACGGGCCUGCCUUUGAGCAUGUGACCAUGUGAGUUCUCUUCCUGGGGUUCACACGGUGGAAAGAGAGAACUGGCUCUCUCAAGGUAUCCUCUGACACCUACAUAUGCACAUUGACACAUGCAGAUUUGUGUGCACAAACACAAAUCAAAAAAUGAAUACGUAGCAAUGUUUUAUUUAGAAAGACACACUGUCUGGGCCCAGCAGCCUCCCCCUAGCUAAUAUGGAAUCUAUCUAUAAAUCCUCCUGUAGUUGAGCUGUCUAAAUUACAGGUGACAUAAUUUAGGACAUGACCUAAGUCAAGAACCCACACUGAAUAAUACCCUCAGAGACCGAUGUCUAUCCAUUAACAGAAGCCUUCAAAAGCAUCUAAUCUUUCUUUCUCAGACCCUGGUUGUGCGUUGGGAGAAACAAAAAAUGAAUGAUCCCCUUUAAGAACCAUAUUGUUGGGGCUGGAGAGAUGGCUCAGCAGUUAAGAGCACUGACUGCUCUUCCUGAGGUCCUGAGUUCAAAUCCCAGCAACCACAUGGUGGCUCACAAUCAUCUGUAAUGAGAUCUAAUGCUCUCUUCUGGUGUGUCUGAAGACCACUACAGUGUAUUCAUAUAUAAUAAAUAAAAAUUUAAAAAA